ensembl:snoRNA SNORA74 Small nucleolar RNA SNORA74
UCCAGUGGUAGUCAGCUGUCCAGAGCAGUACUGUGCCUGUGAUAGUGUUACACUGCUGGGAGAUAAAGAUCAGUCAUUUCUUCUGGCUGCUGUUGUCACUGUUCUGGAGACAGCUGGUACCAGCAAGAAGUGGCAUUGUGCUUCCCUGAAAGUGCACUAAAGGUUCUCUUUUCCUCUUUAGUGCUAGUCUGGAAGCCUACAGA